GCUGCACUGGUUUGAUUGGGAUACUCAUCAAAUAAAUAAUUGAAACCGAGGAAAGUUUACCUGCCGAUGGCGUGCCACAUCUGCAAAGUAACUGGAUUACAAAGGCAGGCGACACCUCAAAUCCUGUUUUAAAGGAGUUUCAUCACAUCACCAGUGCAGCCAUUU
rnacentral:sRNA from 1 species